rnacentral:rRNA from 1 species
GACGAACGCUGGCGGCGUGCUUAACACAUGCAAGUCGAACGGAAAGGCCCUGCUUUUGUGGGGUGCUCGAGUGGCGAACGGGUGAGUAGCACGUGAGUAACCUGCCCUUGACUUUGGGAUAACUUCAGGAAACUGGGGCUAAUACCGGAUAGGAGCUCCUGCUGCAUGGUGGGGGUUGGAAAGUUUCGGCGGUUGGGGAUGGACUCGCGGCUUAUCAGCUUGUUGGUGGGGUAGUGGCUUACCAAGGCUUUGACGGGUAGCCGGCCUGAGAGGGUGACCGGCCACAUUGGGACUGAGAUACGGCCCAGACUCCUACGGGAGGCGGCAGUGGGGAAUAUUGCACAAUGGGCGGAAGCCUGAUGCAGCAACGCCGCGUGCGGGAUGACGGCCUUCGGGUUGUAAACCGCUUUCGCCUGUGACGAAGCGUGAGUGACGGUAAUGGGUAAAGAAGCACCGGCUAACUACGUG